UUUCCCCCAACUAUUUAGGUUGGUCUAGUAAAAGAUAUCAGAUUCACCCAAGGAACCUUGUCUGCCUGUAUCCUUAGACCACCACGGCUACAACCUACACACGUGGGAAAUCCAUG